CCUACGGGUGGCAGCAGUGGGGAAUAUUGGGCAAUGGGCGCAAGCCUGACCCAGCAACGCCGCGUGAAGGAAGAAGGCUUUCGGGUUGUAAACUUCUUUUAUCAGGGACGAAGCAAGUGACGGUACUUGAUGAAUAGGCCCCGGCUAACGACGUGCCAGCAGCAGCGGUAAUACGUAGGUGGCAAGCGUUGUCCGGAUUUCCUGGGUGUAAAGGGCGUGUAGGCGGGAGUGCAAGUCAGAUGUGAAACCUAUGGGCUAAACCCAUAGCCUGCAUUUGAAACUGUACUUCUUGAGUGCUGGAGAGGCAGACGGAAUUCCGGGUGUAGCGGUGAAAUGCGUAGAUAUUAGGAGGAACACCAGUGGCGAAGGCGGAUUGCUGGACAGUAACUGACGCUGAGGCGCGAAAGCGUGGGGAGCAAACAGGAUUAGAUACCCCUGUAGUC
rnacentral:rRNA from 1 species